rnacentral:misc_RNA from 1 species
GAUGAAGAACGUAGUGAAAUGCGAUAAGUAAUGUGAAUUGCAGAAUUCAGUGAAUCAUCGAAUCUUUGAACGCAUCUUGCGCUCCUUGGUAUUCCUUGGAGCAUGCCUGUUUGAGUAUCAUGAGCAAAUCUCAAAGUCAAUUCCUUUUGUUAAUUCAAUUGGUUUUGCUUUGGACUUGGAGGUCUUGCAGAUUUCACAGUCUGCUCCUCUUAAAUGCAUUAGCUGGAUCUCAGUAAUUAUGCUUGGUUCCACUCGGCGUGAUAAGUAUCACUCGCUGAGGACACUGUUAAAAAGGUGGCCAGGAAAAUACUGAUUGAACCGCUUCUAACGGUCUAUUAAGUUAGACAAUUACCCUUAAGUUUGAUCUCAAAUCAGGUAGGACUACCCGCUGAACUUAAGCAUAUCAAUAAGCGGAGGA